GCAAGUCGAGCGAGAAGGUUAUGAUUGAUUCUUCGGAUGACUGACUAACUGGAAAGCGGCGGACGGGUGAGUAACGCGUGGGUAACCUGCCCUAUACAGGAGGAUAGCAGUUGGAAACGACUAUUAAUACUCCAUAAGCAAACAGUACCGCAUGGUGCAGUUUGAAAAGAUUUAUCGGUAUAGGAUGGACCCGCGUCUGAUUAGCUAGUUGGUAAGGUAAUGGCUUACCAAGGCGACGAUCAGUAGCCGACCUGAGAGGGGGAUC
rnacentral:rRNA from 1 species